AUUGAACGCUGGCGGCGUGCCUACCACAUGCAAGUCGAGCGGUAACAGGUGUAGCAAUACAUGCUGACGAGCGGCGAACGGGUGAGUAAUGCUUCGGAAUCUACCUUAUGGUGGGGAAUAACUAGCCGAAAGGUUAGCUAAUACCGCAUACGUCCUACGGGAGAAAGCAGGGGAUCGUAAGACCUUGCGCCAAAAGAUGAGCCGAAGUCGGAUUAGCUAGUUGGUAGGGUAACGGCCUACCAAGGCGACGAUCCGUAGCUGGUCUGAGAGGACGACCAGCCACACUGGGACUGAGACACGGCCCAGACUCCUACGGGAGGCAGCAGUGGGGAAUAUUGGACAAUGGGGGAAACCCUGAUCCAGCGACGCCGCGUGUGUGAAGAAGGCCUGCGGGUUGUAAAGCACUUUUAGUGGGGAUGAAAUGUGCAGGGUUAAUACCUCUGC
rnacentral:rRNA from 1 species